UCUUCACACACCCUUUACAGACGGGAUCCUCAAGCCCCCUUUCCUCCUGGGUGGUUUUACAGCCCUAGACUCGGUUUCCUUCUUUGUAAACCAGGCCUCAGCACACGACUUCCCCCUAAGGGCUGUUUCGAGCAUUAACUGCAGCAAAGGAGGAGAGGAGCUUGGCACGCUCAGGAAACAAUCGGGUUUACAGCCCAGAAAGACUUCUGGCUCCACGUGUCCCCACCACAAAGGCCAAGCUCCAGGGUCCCGGGGGCAGAGUCUGCGUGGCCCUGACUUCUGGCGCGCUCUGGGUUGAGCAGCGAGACCUUGGAGCUGGGGACACCCCCUCCCCACCUCCCCUGGGGCCCUGGGCGACAGGGCCCCGCCUCCAGGUAGCCCCGCCCAGUCCCCGCCCCGUCACGCUUUCGCCGGGUCCUGAAACCGCCAGGCAAGUUGGCCUGAAGAUCUGGCGUUCCCUGUUUCCUCAUCGAGCCCUCCUCUUGGCCCGCGCGCCUUCUGCUCCCCUCCUGCACGCUGCUGCCCGGGAGGGGAUCGGGGUAAUCGCCAAGACCAGGGUUUCCUUCUGCCUUGGGUUUAAUUGGAGGUGAGUGCAUCCAGUGGGUUCAAAAGUCAUCCGGGCCCCAAGUGUGGAGAGCAGAUCCUGGCCCAGGAGAGGACUUGAGCAGUCAGCUGUGACUUCUCUGUUCAUGAAAACCUUAUUGGUGACCUCUAUCAACUGAGUGAUAUUCAUCCCGGCAAAGCCCUCCAACUUCUGGAGUUUUCUUCUGAUAUCUGGGGAAGCCUGUGCCCCAAAGGAGGUUAAGGCUGCCAGGGAUUCAGCUCUGCUCACAUGGAUGGGACAGAGAUCUGACAGCAGAGGCCAGAGGACCUGGCUCUGCCACACGCCUUCAGCCUGGAAGACUGGAGCCUCAGAUGAUGGACCUAUGAGUGUGUCUGAGAGCCACAGGGUGGUCCCUGAACCACUGGGGUCUGAGUUCAGCAGGGAGACUGCCUUGUCCCUUGGCCUUCAGGUGAUGGUGCCCUUCAUGUUUGCAGGACCGGGACUAUCCAGGGCUGGUGUGCUUUUGAACUAUUUCCAGAAUUGAGAGACCUGGAAAGAUGGCAGCUUAGGAGGACACUGGGCUCACCUCGUCCUGCUGAUCACUUAGAUUCCACCCGCAUCUGCCUAAUAACCCAGAAAACUACCAGAAGACUAGCAGAAUGGACUCUCCGGAGCCAAGUGUAGACAAGAGGCCCGUGGACAAGGGUAGGAAGGUUGGAGAG